rnacentral:rRNA from 1 species
AACGUAGGUACCGAGCGUUAUCCGGAUUUACUGGGCGUAAAGCGUGUUCAGGCGGCCUGGCAAGUCGGGCAUGAAAUCUCUCGGCUCAACCGGGAGAGGCUGUCCGAUACUGCUGGGCUUGAGGACGGUAGAGGGUGGUGGAAUUCCGCGUGUAGUGGUGAAAUGCGUAGAUAUGCGGAGGAACACCGGUGGCGAAGGCGGCAUCCUGGACCAACACUGACGCUGAUGAGCGAAAGCCAGGGGAGCAAACGGG